UACAGAGACUGCAAGCGUUACUCGGAUUCACUGGGCGUAAAGGGAGCGCAGGUGGGCAAGUGUGUCGGGCGUGAAAUCCUGGGGCUUAACUCCAGAACGGCGCCCGAAACUACUUGUCUGGAGGAUUGGAGAGGCAGACGGAAUUCCAGGUGUAGCGGUGAAAUGCGUAGAUAUCUGGAGGAACACCGACGGCGAAGGCACUCUGCUGGACAAAUCCUGACACUCAGGCUCGAAAGCGUGGGGAGCAAAAGGG
rnacentral:rRNA from 1 species